GAAUUGUUGUUGUACGAUGCAUCUUUCUCUAGUCAAUGCUUACAUUCCUAUAUCCACUAAAACUCAUAUGGAAACCAAUGUAAAGGUUGAAGUAUGGUAACAGUUGUUGGAUGGCAAUGUAGGAGAGAGAACUGUGGACAAUUUAAUAUUAUCAGGAUUCCCAGACUAUUUGAUAUGUAUCUGUUGAUAACAUCAAUAAAGUUGUGAUUUUUGUGAUUGAGGCUAAAAGCUCGAAUGAAGGAACUUGUGCACGUUCUUCAAAUGCAAUACCAUUAAACUCCUCCUUCACUGGCCAGCUGUGCUUCUAUCUCAACACCCUUUGCUUUAAUUACUUCCCAGAUAGUAUUCCGUUGUUGGGUUUAUAUACGGAAGGGC